AGCAGCCGCGGUAAUUCCAGCUCCAAUAGCGUAUAUUAAAGUUGUUGCAGUUAAAAAGCUCGUAGUUGAAUUUCGGGGUCAGUAGGUUGGUCGUGCCACCGGUACGUACUGGUCUCACUGAUUACCUCCUUCCUGAAGAACCGUAAUGCCAUUAAUUUGGUGUUGCGGGGAAACAGGACUGUUACUUUGAAAAAAUUAGAGUGUUUAAAGCAAGCUAACGCUUGAAUACAUUAGCAUGGAAUAAUGAAA
rnacentral:rRNA from 1 species